rnacentral:lncRNA from 1 species
CCCUCUUACGGUACUUAGCAUUUUCCCAUUUGGUAUAGUCGAGGUAAGUCAUCCCAAGUUUAGCACUUUUAAGGUAAACAAUACCCGCCUAAAACCUUAUUUUGAUGAGAUUCAUAGCAGGAAUGAACAGUAUAAACUCCUCGAACCACAUGACCAUUCAAUGAAGGGGUAAGUCAAGCUUAGACUAUAAAUAAGCGCUUCUUGGGAGGCAACCCGAGCACUAAUAAUAUUAAUUUCUUUAAAUUUUAGUUUUAACAUCUAACAUACUAACCGACUCAUGGAAUGCAGGCUUUCAAAAGCACACACGGCCAAGCACAUGGGCGUGUUGAGGACUGUGUGGAAAUAGGGCAAAGAUUUUCCCCAGCACUGGCUACGAUAAAUUGACACGCCCGUGCCUAGCAACCGUGGCCAAACUUACCAAAACAACACGGGCGUGGACCUUCAUACACGGGCGUGGGAGAAGAGAACAAAGACAGACACGGCCGAGCGACACGGUCGUGUGUACCAACAUGCCCAAGGUACAUGGGUAUGGGGAAAUUGUCAGACGCGCCCAAAUUCAAAAUUCGCGAAUCACACGAGCAAAAAUUGGGGAACACAGGUGCGUUCCCUGGCCGUUUUUCCCAAAAUCUAUAAAUACCCUUCACUAUUCAUCAUCUCCCUAACCCAAAAUCCCUAACCCUAGCCACUGCAGAUUCACACGGCCUCUUGCCAUGCCCAUGCACCACCUUCAACCACAUUUUUGACGCCUAACCUCCUAUCUCUUGUGUUUGUUUAGUCCUUUAUCUCAACCUUCUUCAGUUAUUUUGCUUCUUUCAUGAUUUCUAUGCUCCAUUUGACUAUUUUAUGUGCACAUUCGUAGUUAGAAUAGUAGAUAAAUGUAUAUUUUUAAGUUUUGUUUUGGUCAGUAUAUUAGGCUACAUUCAUUCAUGGUUAUUGUUUCUAUGGGUUUCAUGCCAUUAACCUUACACAAAUUCAUUCUUUAGAUAUCUCCAUUAGUUAUUCUCAUAGGGUUAUUUGGCACAUUGACUUUGGCUGUUAUAGUAUAGGUUAGUAUGUAAACCCCAUGGAAAGUAUUCACAUUUCAUUUCAAUUUCCAUUACAGGUACACCAUAUCAUCUUCACGAGGAAAGAAAGCCGUCGUCCCUGCUUCAAAGGAAAGGAAGGGAGCGUCAUCUUCCUCGGGUCCUACCGCAAAAAUUCGUCACCCUUUCCUGGAGUUUCCCAUUAGGCCCCAAGAAGAACUUUUCCAAAUUCUACGGGCCCGACCCUUGGAAGUGGGCCGCUGUAUAGACUGGGCCGCGCUAGAACAUGUCCAACUCGCGGAUGCAUUUCGGGCCCUCCUCACCACCGAUCCUUGGGGGCUUUUCUUUGAGAUUAUCGUGCCGACAUAUCUCAAACUCACGAUGGAACUCUACUCAAUGUUCCAUCUUCAGACCGUGAUGGCCCGCUUUGAUGACUCGGAGACAAUCCAAUUUUGCCUCGACGAUCUAGUCUGCCGAUUGAACUUUUCAGAGUUCGAAACCGCAUCGAGCCUUUAGACUGAGGAGUUCAUAGAGGAGAAUGAACUCCACGCUCUCAAUCGCCACAUCCAUCAUUCUCCUUUACGGUGUUGGAACACCCUCGCCUCCGGCGCUGCCUCCUACAAUCCUAGCCGCCCCAAGGCAUCGACUCUCCCCCCAUCUCUGAGGUAUUUACACGCCAUUUUGGCUCACAUGUUAACAGGAAGGCGAGAGAGCACUGGCGUCGUUAACACUCACGAUGCCUACUUUCUAUGGUGUAUGUUACACGGGUACGUCAUAGACCUUGCUUAUUUCAUUACCCUCGCCAGUCAACAUCAGACGGAGUGGCAUAGGAAGGGGGUCAUCUUCAUUGGGCCCUAUGUGAUGCAGUUGGCUCGGCACUUCAGCCUAUUCAACACAGCAGCCCAAUCAUCCUCCCUCACUCUCAUGGCCAGAUGUCCCCGUAGGGUAUCUCGAGCAUGCUAAGUAUAAGGAUGAUCGAGAAACAACGUGGCACCUUCCCUCCUCAGUACCGUCUCGCCCAAUUCACCGAGGAGGAGGCCCCCAAGGAUAUUACUGAUGAUGUCCCUCCACGUCAGGAGGACCUACCGUCUCAGCCACCACCUCCUUCUUGUCUAGUUUAUGCGGCAACUUCAUACGCUGACAUAUCUGAGCGCCUUACUCGGUUCGAGCAACAGUGUUUUCAGCGCUUCGAUAACAUUGAUGCUACUCUACAGCAGAUUUGCUAGCACCUCCACAUCUUAUCACCACCCCCAUCUCACGAACCAUCUAGCGAUGAAGAGGUUUAAAAACUUUUAUUUAUUAUUUUAUGUUUUUACUUUAUUUUAUUUUAAGACUACUUUUUAUUUUUCUUUCACCUUAUUUUUAUUAAGACUUAUAAUUAUUAUUUUACAAUUUUUAAUUUCGGCUAAUUCAUAUUGAGUACUUACUCUUCCUUAUAUAUUUCCUAAAAGAGUUCCUGAUUCUAUCACAGUUAUAAAGAGCUCCAAAGCUCACUAUUACUCAGGAACUUGAAACUCCACUAGAAAAGGUUUUCCACGAUUGCUAUGUCCUGCUCGACCACGACCAUAGCUACCACCAGAUAUAAUAUUCUUUUGGUGCAGGACUUAUGGACUAAUGAAACUCUACCACCACCGGAGUAUCAUCCUCCACCCUCACACUGAUUAUUCUCUAAAAAUCCAGUUCAAGGAAAUUCAUUCAUCACUCAGGAAGUCUCACUUCUCUCCCUAUCUUAUAUUUAUAUUUUUUUCUAUAUAUCUAUCUUUGUACAUUGAGGGCAAUGUACAUCUUAAGUGUGGGGGGUAUUCAUUUUCACUAUCAAAAAAAUCCUUGAAUGAUUGCCUUGUUCUUUUGAAAAGCUCUCAUAUCAUGUUUAGGAUAAAUGUUGAUUGAUUUAUGACUUUUAUUGAUAUAUCUUAAAUUAAAACAUAGGCAUUUAUGCAUUGAUUGUUUAAACUUUAAGACAUUAGGGAAUCAAGCAUGAUAAGUUGAUUUUUGAAGAAUUAAAUACUUUUAGGUUGUUUCCCUAAGUUUAGGUAUUAUCUUGAGUUGGAAUUCACAAGUUUAAACAUUAAAAAGCCAUAAUUUUUGUGAGAUCUUGAGCCUUUAGUGCAACUAUUAUUUAUUUUAUGCUCACUUUUAUUAUAAGUGUGUCAGUAUUGAAUUGUUAUUCUAGAACUUGCUUGAUUAUGCAUGUCAAGACCUUACCAUUUGAUUUGAUAUGUCAAAAUGAUAAAGGCACUUAGGUUUAACCCACUCACUCCAUAAAUGCCUACCUUCACAAUUAACCCUUAGUGAACCACAUUGAGCCUAACAACUCAUUCAUUGAUUUACCCUCGAUAUUAACCCAUAAUUCAUUAUUGUUAAAAUCCCCUAAAUUAAUUUGAUCCCUAUUUUUGUCGAGAUUUGAGUUGGAAUAAUUGCUUAGCUAUGUUUUAUUCUAAUUUGUCGGACCCAUUUUUUUCUGAUCCUUUGAUAAAAAGAUUCAUUUUCUUCAUAAAAAAUAGGAGGUAGAGCCGAUAAAGAUUUCUUUUUCGAUUCAUCCCUGGAGUUGAAUACCUCAUUCAAGAAUUGUUUUUGAUCCAAUCCGUAGGAAUCAAUAGAAAAGGCAAAUCUCUUAUAAUACACCAGAUCCGGCUCGGUUAUUGAUAGAGUGAAUUUGAUUUGUUCUAAAAAAAAUACAUGUAUACAUAUUAGUAGUAGUGAUCUUCUGAGCUAAAUAAGUUAAAUUCCAUAUUAUGAGAAAAAGCUCUGUUGUACGCAAUUGAAGUAGAUAGGCUGGUCUAUUUCGCCUUCGCUACAACCAGGAAGCUUUGACGGAAGUCCCAUAUCUGAGUCGCCGGAGAUGCAAGUCUCCCAUUGGUUCGAAGAAAACCAGAAAUGGGUGGGAUCUUUCAUCGAUAGCUAUUCAUUUGAGUCUUCGGGUAUCAUUGCUUUUCUUGGCAUCGGUCUAUCGUAGUCCCCAUUGCACCGCUAGAUAAGAGGUUAGAAUCUCAAUCAUGACAGUAGCAGAAAUAGACACAAAAAGGAAUUUCCAAAGGCUGAAUGUAGACUAGCUUCAGCAAAGAAAAUUAGAUCGUCAGAAGUGAGAGAUCGGAUUUCGAUCCCGGGGGAGAUUUCUAAAACAAUUUGAAUUGCCUCUCUUGAAUAAGAA